UUGAUCCAGGUACACCUCUUCU
rnacentral:siRNA from 1 species